rnacentral:rRNA from 1 species
UACGAAGGGUGCAAACGUUGCUCGGAAUUAUUGGGCGUAAAGAGCUCGUAGGCGGUCUGUCGCGUCGGCUGUGAAAUCCCGGGGCUCAACCCCGGGCCUGCAGUCGAUACGGGCAGACUAGAGUGCGGUAGGGGAGACUGGAAUUCCUGGUGUAGCGGUGGAAUGCGCAGAUAUCAGGAGGAACACCGGUGGCGAAGGCGGGUCUCUGGGCAGUAACUGACGCUGAGGAGGGAAAGCGUGGGGAGCGAACAGG